ACCUUCUUCGGAGGGUAUGCUUAAAGAGGGGCUUGCGCCACAUUAGUUAGUUGGUGAGGUAAAGGCUUACCAAGAUUAUGAUGUGUAGCUGGACUGAGAGGUUGAACAGCCACAUUGGGACUGAGACACGGCCCAAACUCCUACGGGAGGCAGCAGUAGGGAAUUUUCGGCAAUGGAGGAAACUCUGACCGAGCGACGCCGCGUGAACGAUGAAGUAUUUCGGUAUGUAAAGUUCUUUUAUUGAAGAAGAAAAAAUAGUGGAAAAACUAUCUUGACGUUAUUCAAUGAAUAAGCCCCGGCUAACUAUGUGCCAGCAGCCGCGGUAAGACAUAGGGGGCGAGCGUUAUCCGGAAUUAUUGGGCGUAAAGGGUGCGUAGGCGGUUAGAUAAGUCUAUAAUUUAAUUUCAGUGCUUAACGCUGUCUUGUUAUAGAAACUGUCUUGACUAGAGUGAGAUAGAGGCAAGCGGAAUUCCAUGUGUAGCGGUAAAAUGUGUAAAUAUAUGGAGGAACACCAGAAGCGUAGGCGGCUUGCUGGGUCUUUACUGACGCUGAGGCACGAAAGCGUGGGGAGCAAACAGGAUUAGAUACCCUGGUAGUCCACGCUGUAAACGAUGAGUACUAAGUGUCGGGGAAACUCGGUACUGAAGUUAACACAUUAAGUACUCCGCCUGAGUAGUACGUACGCAAGUAUGAAACUUAAAGGAAUUGACGGGACUCCGCACAAGCGGUGGAUCAUGUUGUUUAAUUCGAAGAUACACGAAAAACCUUACCAGGUCUUGACAUACUCUGCAAAGCUAUAGAAAUAUAGUGGAGGUUAUCAGGGAUACAGGUGGUGCAUGGUUGUCGUCAGUUCGUGUCGUGAGAUGUUAGGUUAAGUCCUAAAACGAACGCAACCCCUGUCGUUAGUUGCCAGCACGUAAUGGUGGGGACUUUAGCGAGACUGCCAAUUAAACAUUGGAGGAAGGUGGGGAUAACGUCAAAUCAUCAUGCCCCUUAUGAUCUGGGCUACAAACGUGAUACAAUGGCUAUUACAAAGAGUAGCUGAAACGCGAGUUUUUAGCCAAUCUCAAAAAGGUAGUCUCAGUACGGAUUGAAGUCUGCAACUCGACUUCAUGAAGCUGGAAUCGCUAGUAAUCGCGAAUCAGC
rnacentral:rRNA from 1 species